UUAUUAGCACCGCACUAGACCUAGCUACCAACCUAACAACAACUUUCUAUAGCUUAAAUAACCAAAAGCACGACCGACAUCCCAAUUUAGGGAAUUCCAGCAGGUGGAUUGGCAAUGAUUAUUCCACCAAUUGCAUUUCCGUUGAUUCCGUAUCUUAUUUUCAUUUCCUUAAAAUAAGACGUCGCUGCAUCUACCACUACUGGCUAAUAACAAUGGACUUCCACACUUUGUCUUCAAGCGACUCCAUUAACCAAAUAAGAUGCACCUCGUGCAAAAACUACUUGUCUUACUUCCCCGUGAUGUUAACCCAAGAAGAAACGUUAUGUGGAAGGUGUCCUGCAAAGGACAAUUCAAUUCGAAACUUUUCAUUUGAAGCUUUAGCCCAGUUUUUGCCCUUUCCAUGCCGUUACCAACCUCAAGGAUGUUGCGAUGAAUUCCUUCCGGGGGAAAUACCCGGACAUGAGGAGAACUGUAAGUUUCGGGUAAUUCCUUGUCCUUUGGAUGAAUCAGUGGCGUGCGAAUGGCAAGGACCAAGAACAGAAUUGUUACAACACUGUUUGGAUGAACAUUCCGAUUUGGUGCUUGAAAAUGGGGAAUUUGAGUUGGACUUGACAUGUUCCGAAAAUUUUGUGAAUAUCUUAGGACACGAAAAUGUUUUGUUGAUUUUCAAAAGAAAUUUUCAUUCUGAGCGCAAACUAUUGAAAUUUGUACUGUACAGAAGUAAACAUGAUCUAGGAAAUGAACAUUUUUCAUGCCGAUUAGAAAUUAAGGGAGCAAAAAAUACGAUGUUAUGUGAUUUUGACUCAAGCUUUGAAGAAAACUGCAAUAUGACAAAAAUUCAGCUUGAGCCAAUAGUAUGUGUUACCAAUGUAGCUGUUGGGAAAUUAACUAUCGAGAAAUCUAUAGAAAAAAACUCACAAGUUGAUGAAGAAAUGCUCUCACUUUUGAAGUGUAUAAAAUGUUCGGACUACGCAAUUCCACCGAUUUACUACUGCACGGAAAAAUCGAACGUUGUAUGUUCUGAGUGUAAGGUAGAUCAUGAUUGUGUCUCUUGUCAGACAUCAGAACCUACUAGAAAUUUUAGUCUUGAUGGAAUGGCAAGUUUACUAACUUAUCCUUGCAAGUAUAAACGAAACGGUUGUACUUUUACGUCUAUAUGCGGGAAGAUCAGUAAGCAUAACGACUCAUGUGAAAUGAGUGAUUUGUUAUGUCCGUUUAAACAAACUAACUUAAAAUGCUUAUGGAAAGGAACACAAAAACAAGUGUUCGAACACAUAGAAAACAAUCACUCUGAGUAUUUGUUUGAAAAUAACAGUGUAAUUUCACUGAAACUUAAAGAAGAAACAACCUACUACAGGAUAAUUCAAUUGCCCAAACUUUGUUUUCUGUUAAACUUUAGGAAAGAGUCAUCCAUUCUUUAUUUUACCGUGCAGGCAAUUGGUUUCCUUCCUCACCAAUACAAAUUUGAAAUUGAAAUUCAAUAUCCUUCUAGAAAAGGCAUUAGAUUAUUAGCCAACAAGCUUUGUAAAAAGAAGAUGAGUUUACGUAGUAGAUAUUAUUUUGUAAAUAGGGACAAUUAUUGCACUUUUCACGACAUUAAUGCAUUUGAAAGGAAUAAUAUUACUAAAUUUAAGAUAACUGUUUUCAAGUAAUCUAGCAUCUAGCACUUAAUGGUUAAGGAGAUCCUUUAGUAAUACAAACAUUGACUUAUUUUUGCUUUUGUUAUUUCGUUCAAAUAUACAAUUUUUAUAUA